rnacentral:rRNA from 1 species
UACGUAGGGUGCGAGCGUUGUCCGGAAUUAUUGGGCGUAAAGGGCGCGUAGGCGGUUAUAUAAGUGAGAUGUGAAAAUCCCUGGGCUUAACCUAGGAACUGCAUCUCAUACUGUAUGACUGGAGUAUUGUAGAGGGUAGUGGAAUUUCCGGUGUAGCGGUGAAAUGCGUAGAGAGUCGGAAGGAACACCAGUGGCGAAGGCGGCUACCUGGACAAAUACUGACGCUGAGGCGCGAAGAGCGUGGGGAGCAAACAGG